rnacentral:rRNA from 1 species
CCAGACUCCUACGGGAGGCAGCAGUGAGGAAUAUUGGUCAAUGGGCGCGAGCCUGAACCAGCCAAGUCGCGUGAGGGAAGACGGUUCUAUGGAUUGUAAACCUCUUUUGUCGGGGAGCAAAAGACGCCACGCGUGGCGUUCCGAGAGUACCCGAAGAAAAAGCAUCGGCUAACUCCGUGCCAGCAGCCGCGGUAAUACGUAGGGGGCAAGCGUUAUCCGGAUUUACUGGGUGUAAAGGGAGCGUAGGCGGUUUAGCAAGUCAGAAGUGAAAGCCCGGGGCUCAACUCCGGGACUGCUUUUGAAACUGUUGAACUAGAUUGCAGGAGAGGUAAGUGGAAUUCCUAGUGUAGCGGUGAAAUGCGUAGAUAUUAGGAGGAACACCAGUGGCGAAGGCGGCUUACUGGACUGUAAAUGACGCUGAGGCUCGAAAGCGUGGGGAGCAAACAGGAUUAGAUACCCGCGUA